CUUCCUCCCUCAUAUUUACUACAGGCGAGUGCGCACUCGGCUUCCUCCCCCAUAUUUACUACAGGUAAGUGCACACUCGGCUUCCUCCCUCAUAUUUACUACAGGUAAGUGCACACUCGGCUUCCUCCCUCAUAUUCACUACAGGUGAGUGCACACUCGGCGUCCUCCCUCAUAUUUACUACAGGCGAGUGCGCACUCGGCUUCCUCCCCCAUAUUUACUACAGGUAAGUGCACACUCGGCUUCCUCCCCCAUAUUUACUACAGGUAAGUGCACACUCGGCUUCCUCCCUCAUAUUCACUACAGGUGAGUGCACACUCGGCGUCCUCCCUCAUAUUUACUACAGGUGAGUCCACACUCGGCGUCCUCCCUCAUAUUUACUACAGGUGAGUGCACACUCGGCGUCCUCCCUCAUAUUUACUACAGGUGAGUGCACACUCGGCUUCCUCCCUCAUAUUUACUACAGGCGAGUGCACACUCGGCUUCCUCCCUCAUAUUUACUACAGGCGAGUGCACACUCGGCUUCCUCCCUCAUAUUUACUACAGGCGAGUGCACACUCGGCUUCCUCCCUCAUAUUUACUACAGGCGAGUGCACACUCGGCUUCCUCCCUCAUAUUUACUACAGGCGAGUGCACACUCGGCUUCCUCCCUCAUAUUUACUACCCUUGUGCAUAUAGCUUGUAACAGGUGUCACCUAGCUAAGUGUAUGCAUGAUUCACAAUAAAAAGUACCACAGCACAGGGCUCAACAAUGCAGAGAGGCCUCAGUGCAGUGAUACAGUGACACAGGGAAUACACCCAGUCUGUGUCACCAUUCUGGG